rnacentral:tRNA from 1 species
GUGGCUAUAGUAUAGUGGUCAGUACGUAUCGUUGUGGUUUGGAUAUAAUUCAUCUACAACAAUUACCGAUGAGACGCCGGUUCGAUUCCGGCUAGCCACA